AAUCUGGUCAAUGUUAAGUGUCGUUAUAUGUUUUAAAUAAAAGCACCUUUCCGUUUCUAUUCUCGGCUUGGAGGCUGUGGUAUGGCCAUUUCUCGUUCUCCCGAUUCACUGAAGAUGUUGAUCAGAACUGAAGACAGCAGCGAGACCGGCAGGUCCUUUUAUGCCCAGGAGCCUUUGGCGGCCAUAUCGGGGAGUUCCUGCUAAAGCCGGAGUGGCUUAGCCAGGGAUAACGGUAGAUUGUGCGAUGGGUGAGAAACGGUCCACACGUGGAUACAGUCAUUCCUCUGGCAUCGGCAUAAUGGCCUUGGGCUCAGGAGGCCUGUCUCUCUUCAAGGAGCAUGAGCUGAAAUUGCUGAACUUUGGGAGUUUUCAGUGACACCCUUCAAAGUGCACAGGGUGUGUCAUAUAUCAGCUCAGGAGGGCUGAUGCGCUUUUGCCCUGUGAGGCAUCUGUGUAACUGCCUCCGACGUAGGCCACAGGGGGCGCCUAGGCCGGCAGACGCCCCCUGUGAUUGGUUGACGAGAUGCCAAGCAACGGGACCAUCCAGUCACCUUCGAUGCAGGGAGGUUUGCUGACAGGGUCCCUCUGUGACUUCAUUCACUUGAUCCAAUCACAUGUCAAGUUGGCCCGUGAGGUGGAGCCAUGCUGCGUACCCAAGCGUCCCCGCUUCACAAUCGCCAUUGUCUGUCCCCGUCCACAACCACCAUCGCCUCUUCUUGCCAUCUAAUGGCCGCUGCCUCCGCCAUGGCUAGAACUUCCUCUGAGACGACCUCUGAGGAACAAGUGAUCACCCAGGAGCCCAAAGAGGCCAACUCCACAACGGCCCAGAAGAAGAGCAAGCAGAGGAAGCGAGGGCGCCGAGGGGCCCGCCGGUGCCAAGCCAACUGCCGCGGGGACAGCUUCGCCACCUAUUUCCGCCUGGUGCUGAAGCAGGUUCACCAGGGCCUCAGCCUUUCCCGGGAGGCCGUGAGUGUCAUGGAUUCUAUGGUUCAUGACAUACUGGACAGCGUCGCCUCCGAGGCAGGUCGCCUGGCCCGCUCCGCCAAGCACGUGACCAUCACCGCCUGGGAGAUCCGGAUCGCCGUGCGCCUGCUGCUGCCGGGGGAGAUGGGCAGGCUCGCCGAGUCCGAGGGCACGAAGGCUGUUCUCAGAACUUCAGUAUAUGCCCUACAGCAACAGAAAAAGUGAAUACGUUGAUAGAAGAACCAAGAAACCUGUAAAGGAUGGUACUCUCAGUCAAACCAUGAAACAAAAGCUGACUAUUAGAAACGUGUUAUGAAAAUAGUUGAAGAAAAAUGCUCACCUCGUUAGGAGACCAAGAAACACCACCACAAAAUCAGCCGCAAUGAAAUCCCUCUGCAAGAUGCCGACAAGUGUUCCUACCUGUGCAAAACAACAAUUUGAAAACCAAAGAUGCUUUGCAGAUCCCUGUUGUUUUCCAGAGACAGAGCUGUGUACCUGAUCCAAAACACCACAUCUCACUCAGUAACUUAAUUCUCAUUAUGCUAAUUGUUUUGCUUUAAAGUGACAAUUUUUCUGUCAAGUAGGACAUAGAAAUAAAUUUCGAAAGUUAUC